UGGGCAGGUAAUGACGCCAUUUUGUCGUGGUGUGUGUGAAUUCAAGGAGCUGUUGAUGAGAAGUUGGAACAUUUGUUUUGGCAAGUUCUACAGACAUUUUUUCCAAAACAUUUACCUUUUUAUCGUUUCUUUGUUUCCCCCGAGAGACUGUUUGAGCAGUGAAAAUCAUUGUUUGUUUAAACGACGGAACAUUUUUCUCCGGUUAGCUAGUGUUUUCGCUUGCGUGCGGUGGACAUCACCGUGCAUGAACCCCUGAUCGGCGCACUUUAUUUCGUCUUUUCCCUUCUAUUGUUUCUUUUUCACUCGAGGAGCUGUUGUUGGGCGUGUAAACUUUGUUUGAACCUCUGGCCGUCGCCGAACACCACGGCCGCGCUUCAGAGGAUGAAGCGCGAAAAUGAAAAGUUGUCAAUGACGAGCCUGACAUCAGCCUGAUGAUAUUUCAAUGGCCUGCUCUUUCUACAGUAAACCAGGUUGCAGCUGACAAGGACUCAUACAGGCAAACUCCAGUGAGAAUCUUCUGUGUUGAUCUAUAAAGUGCUCAGCUAAACCCAUAUAGAGCGAGGAUCGUCUUAGAAGGAUGUUUGGUAAUGGAUGAACUGACCAACCUCAGGACUUCUGUGUCCUUUUUUCUGACUGAUUUAUGUCCUGCACCUGGACUACCCUAACUGUAUGAAAAAUACUUUAUAUUUUUUUCAGCAGGUAAUGCUCAACCUAGGAAAAUGUGAGCUGGCACCUAAAAUUGAAUACUGCCAAUAUUGUGAACUCAGGAGUGUAAACAGACCAUAUAGUUUUGAUGCAAUUUGUUGUGAUUCUGAGAUAGACUAUUCAUGUGCUUAACAAUAAGCUGAUUUGUUAAAACUAGGUUUUUUCAUGUUUUAUAAGGAAAAUGUUUUCAGGACAUGACAUUUUGUUGCAUUUGGAACUGAAUUAAAAUAAAACAUAAAAUUGAA